AGCUCAUCAACUAGCACUUCUGGUUCCCCUACUUUGAACCGCACAAUUCUUUGUCAGGUUAUGACUGUCGACACCACAGGAUCAGAACUGCCAGAGUGAUCCUCCAGAAACACGAGCCGGAUCCUGCCGUGCCCCUGCUCUGAAACUUUAAUGGGUCCCCACUGUCUGUAGGGGAGCAUCUAAACAUGAGAGUAUGACGUUCAAGUACUACCUAAUUUUCAGGCCUCAUUUCCUACCUCCUUCUUUCCAAAUGUCCAUUUGGAUUGUAACAGGGCUAUUUAACAUUCUCCUAGGCCUACCAGAAAAUAUCAUAAUGGUCUCCAUGCUUUCAUCUUCUUUCUCAAUUUCCCUUACAACCUAUAAACAUGUCACUCAUCGCUAAAGAUUCAAUUCAAAGAUCCAGUUGUCUAUCAAAGUUUGCUUGCUUUCCCCAGUCAGAAACCCCUCACCCCUUCCUUGCAGGGCCAGAACAAAGAUCCUUAGUACCAGGAUUUCCUGUCUUGAAUGCUGGGCAACGGUCCCUGUCUGCCCACCCACACAACUGCGAGCUCUUGAGGAUGGAGCCCUGCCAUGAUUCAUGCUCUACUCUCACGACAGUGAUGCAGGACGAUGUGUUAGCAGUUUCCUCUAAGACAGCAGACUUGGCCUGAAUAAAUAAAUAAAACUAUUCAAAAUAAGAUGAAGUAUUUAGACUCUUCUCCUAAUAAUGUCAUUCUCACACCUUUCCUAGCUCUCUUGAGUAGAAAAGGGUCAAGUUCAAGUUAGGAUGUGAGGAAUGAUGCAUAUCCAUGAGCUCUCUCACGGAUGUGUGUCUUGUGUAUUUUCGGAGAAAAAUAAAAAGCAUUGAGAAAUGCCACUCUCAGGGUUCCCAUCAUGGCACAGCAGAAACGUAUCUGACCAGGAACCAUGAGAUUACGGGUUCCAUCCCUGGCCUUGCUCAGUGGGCCAGGGAUCGGAUCUGCAACCUCAUGGUUCCUAGUCAGAUUCUUUUCUGCUGUGCCACGAUAGGAACACUUUUUUUUUCCAAGGCCAUAGGUGCCACAUGUGGAAGUUCUCAGGCUAGGGGUUGAAUUGGAGCUGCAGCUGCAGACCUACGCCACAGCCACAGCAAUGCUGGAUCCGAGCCUCAUCUGCAAUCUACACCACAGCUCAUGGCAAUGCCAGAUCCUUAACCCACUGAGAGAGGUCAGGAAUCCAACCUGCAUCCUCUUGGAUACUAGUUGGAUUCGUUUCCACUGAGCCACAACAGAAACUGUCCACACUGUCAUUUUGAAAUUAAAAGAGGUAUUUCCCAUUGUGGCUCAGCAUAAACAAAUCCAACUAGUGUCCACGAGGGUAUGGGUUUGAUCACUGGCCGCGCUUAGUGGGUGGGGGAUUUGGCAUCACUGUGAGCUGUGGUGUAGGCUGCAGAGCUGGAUCCCGAAUUGCUGUGGCUGGGGUGUAGGCUAGCAACUGCAGCUCUGAUUUGACCCCUAGCCUGGGAACUUCCAUAUGCCAUGGGUGCGGCCCUAAAAAGCCAAAAAAAAAAAAAAAAAACAGAGAGAGAGAGCCAAUGACCAAACGCCUUUCACUCACUGAAGGCUUUCUAUGAACCAAGCAUUUGGGGGGGGGAGGGGCUGGAAGGGUUAAAAUUUUAUGACAACACUAGAAUCUUUAACCCCCUGCACUGUGCCAGGGAUUAAAUUGGCACCUGCACAGUGACCUGAGCCAUUGCAGUCAGAUUCUUAACCCACUGUGCCACAGCGGGAACUCCAGAUCAGGUGUUUUUUCAAGUGCAUCAUCUAAGUUUUAGUAUCCCUACAAAAUAAGCAGUCGCAUCCCUAUUUUACAGAUAAAGAGAACCUCAGAGAGGCUAAUGCAUGUCCCCAUGCGUAAUGGCCAGGAAGUUACAGAGUCAAGAUUGCAACUCAGGAACGCCUGACACCAAGGCCCAUGGAUUUUUCUCCUAUGACCCCAGUCUUAGUCCUGUUGGGCUGCUCCAACAAAAUACCACAGACUGAACAGCUCAUAGACCACACAUUUUUCACAGUCCUGAAGGCUGGAAGUCCCCGAUCAGGGUGCAAGUGUGGUUGGGAGGGCCCCUCUUCAGGGCCGCAGACUUCUCAUGUCUACACAUGGUGGAAGGGGCUAGGGAGCUUUCUGGAGCCCCUUUUAUAAGGGCACCGAUCCUAUUCGUGAUGGGGAACCAUCUUGACUUAAGCAUCUCCCAAAGGCCCCACCAUUAAUACCAUUAACUUUGGAGGUUAUAAUUUCAACAUAUGAAUUGGGGAGACACAACCAUUCAGACCAUAGCAUCCUCUAAACCUCUAAGGGCCCAGAUCUUACAUUCAUAACCUCUGUGAUCCUACAAAACCCAAGAGUCUUGGUGAAAGUUAAAAAAAAAAGGCAGCAGUUAGGGAAGUACCUCCUUUGUCUGAGCAAGGCACCUUCAUAGCUUUUUUCCAUCCUCUACUCACAGCCAAGUUUCUUCUCCCCAGAGCAGUACUUUACCCAAAAAUAACUUCAUGACAGGCUAAAAUAGAAAAAGGAGUACAGAUAAAAUGUGGCAAGUUGCCCAAAAGGAUUUCCUGCUGGACGCAAACUCUCCAAGGCAGUGAAUUUUCCUUCAGGUAAAAUACAAAAACGUGUAAAGUUAAGGAAAAGAGGGGGGGAACAGGGUGGGAGGCCUGCUUUGCUGCACCACACAGGCCCAGGUAAGUACUACCUGCUCUUGAAUAAGAACAUCACCGUUUUUGCUAAGCAGUUUUCCCCUAGUCAACCAAAAAGUAUCAAUCCUCUUGAUAAUCUGUAUGGAAGAAAAUAAAAUUGCCUAGAAGGCCAUCAGAGCAGUGGCUGCCCUGGAGGUCCACACCUGCCAGAAUGAAGACCUCAUCCCAUCCUUUGUAUAUUCCUUUUUUUUUUUUAGGGCCGCACCUAUGGCCCGUGGAGGCUCCCAGGCUAGGGGUUGAAUCAGAGCUGUAGAUGCCAGCCUAUACCAGAGCCACAGCAAUGCUGGAUUCAAGCCGCGUCUGCAACCCACACCACAGCCCGCGGCAACACCAGAGCCUCAACCCACCAAGCGAGGCCAGGGAUUGAACCCGCAACCCCAUGGCUCCUAGUCAGAUUCAUUAACCACUGGGCCACGAUGGGAACUCCACUCCCUUGUAUAUUCUUACAGCCAACAGUGGCUGAACACCUACAAUGCAAAAAGCAUCUGCUAGAGGCUGAGAAUAAAGAUGAAAAUAAUUUGCAACUCCUUCCCCAGAUAGUUCACUCCAGCCCGGAAGUCAGACAAGCAAGCAUACAGUUAACUAUAGCUGGAUAAAUCAUAAAUGAAGGGAUUGUGGAAAAAGAGUUGAAACAAGAAGGAAACACCCAACACAGUGUGGGGAAAGGGCUUCUUAAGCUGAGUUUGAAAUAACAAGUAGGUGUUUAUCAGAGGUGUGAGAACCAGGAAAAUAUCUCUAGCAGGGAGAACAGGGUGUGCAAGGAUAUGCAAAUCAGGAUAUGCAAAUCAGGAACCAGGGAGAAAAUGACUCCAAAUGUGAAAGGAUGGGGUGGGGGGGAGGUCAGAUCCGUUAGGUGAACAGAGGGUAAAAUUGUACACUUCAGCUUCCCCUUAUGGGUCAGCAGGUUAAAAACCUGAUGCAGUGUCCAUGAGAAUAUGGGUUCAAUCCCUGGCCUUGUUCAGUGGGUGAAGAAUCUGGCAUUGCCACAAGUUGUAGUGCAGGUCGUGAAUGCAGCUUGGACCUGGCAUGGCUGUGGCUGAGGCUGAGGCUGUGGCUGUGGCUGUGUUGUAGGCUGGCAGUGGCAGCUCCGAUUUGACCCCUCGUCUGGGAACUUCCAUAUGCCGCAGGUGUGGCCGUAAAAAGACAAAAAAAACAUCAGUACUUUGCUGCCCAUUCCCAUGUUAACCAGUGACACACUUAAGAGGGCAUGCGUGGGAAGGGAAAUUCUUAUAAGCUCAGAGAGACAAACUAUACACCACAUUGUGUGAGGGAUCCAGGGAUGUGCAUUAUCCCUGGAUCUCUUCCGUGUAUGUGAGGGGCUGAUUCUUGGUAGGUAUUUGCCUAACGAUAUGUGUGAGUCCACCACAGCCUGGUCAGAGAGAAAUGUGAGGGACAUGCUACACUGAAUCUAUCUCCCAAACAAAGCCGUCCAUAGUGGGAUGGGGAAGCAAGUCUGAACAAUGCCAUGGCCAACUGCCCCAUCAGGCAUGAGACUUCCUCUUUCAGAGCUCCUGGCUCUUCUAAGUACUACCCAGGCACCUCAGGAAAUGGAUGAAAAUCUCUGCCUCUCAGUAUCCUCAUCUGUAACAUGGGCAGAAUGAUGCUUAUGGCACAGAGUUAAUAUGACAGGGUUAUAUUAAUGUCUGUUACAGUAUCUGAUGUUUCCUUGUUAUAUUUAUUAGUUUCCAUUCUCUUGUCCUUCAUAAAUCAACAGUCACAACAAUGGUCAUGAAAGACACCACUGCCAAUUUCUCCUAUUAUUUUUAACAAAUGAUCCACAGCAUAUGUGCCAUAGAUUGAAGAUUUAAAAGCACAUUAACUUCUGUUGGCUGAUGUGGUGAUCUCAGUAACCUUCACAGUUAGAUAAGAGGAGUGAUGUCAGGGAUACAGUGAGGAAGCACGUGACCUGCCCAGAUUCAUAUGGUUGUCACGUGACAGAAGGUAAGCUCACAGGCUCAUUCUUUAUCUCCAAAGCCCAGUUCCUUUAACUGCACAGCAUUGCAUCUGUGAGUACUUGUCUAGAAAAACCAAGAACACUAAUGUGGCAGCCAUCAGCAACAAAGCUCACUUUACUAAAUGUAAUAUCAGUAAGGGGCCCUUGUGAGUUAUAGAAGCUUCUCCUGUGGCAUAACAAGUAUCUUUGCCAAAGUUCAUGGGUUCGGCUAAAGAUUUGAAAGACAAAGACCAGGUCUUAUUAGUGCCUCCAGCCUCAAGUGUUUGCUGCCAUCCUGUCAUACCAGACAAACUCAAUACCUUUUUGCUGGAUGAAUGGAUGGAUUUUGUAGGCAGUUAAUGAUUUACAAACUAUUUCUACAUCCUUCGUCUUACUUGAUUUUUUCCAAAGCUCUGGAACAUAAAGAAAAGCUGAUAUCAUUUUCUACAUUUAACACAUGAUGAUAUGCAGGUCACACCCAGGUUGCUGUUUUUGUCUUUCUUUGAAGGAUUACAAUGGAUUCAUGCUCCCUCCUGGAGCAGAACCCAGCUGAAUCCCACAUGCAGCUGUUGCCCUGCCACACAAGGCUGCUUAAAAGCCAGGACAGACACUGUUUUGUUAUUAUCUCUCAUAUCUUUCAAAAUACAUUAAAUUCUGAAAAUCUCUGUGAUAAUUAAACUAAAAAAAAAAAAAAAAAGAGCUGAAGCUGAACCAUUCAACCUAGAAUAACUAUUACAUUCCUAUUCUUUCCCUUUCUCACCUCCUUUUGGUCUCCAUUGUCUAUAGCAUGGGGUAUUCUUCUUCCUCCACAAAAAGAAUCCACUUCCUACAGAAUAGAGUUGUCAGAAUUGUGUGAACCUUGCUUUCUGUGUUAACCCUUCUGUUGGGUUUUAUAGCACACAUUUUUCCUGAAUGGUUUCCACCAUCAGUCUCAGCACUCUGAGAGCUCAUCCCAAAAGUGGUUUUGCUUUUUAGGGCCACAUCUGCAGCACAUGGAAGUUUCCAGGCUAGAGGUUGAAUUGGAGCUGCAGCUGCUGUACCUUAGCCACAGCAACUAUACCUUAGCCACAGCAACUCAGGAUCCAAACACAUCUGUGACCUACACCACAGCUCAUGGCAAUGCUGGAUCUUUAACCCACUGAGUGAGGCCAGGGAUUGAAUCCGUAUCCUCAUGGAUCCUAGUCAGGUUCUUGACCCACUGACCUCAAUAGGAACUCCAAAAGUGGAGUCUUAUGAUGCCACAGCCUUAUACCAGGUCCACUGGAGUCACCCAACAAAGCUGCACAGAUUGCUUAAUGUGGUUCUCAGGGUAUCCCAAAUCCAUAUCCUACUUAUCUUUGCAGCCCAUCUCCCACAUUUCCUCUCCAUAGGCUCUGCACUCUACCAGACCAAGAUAGUCAAAGACCCCCUAAAUAACUUCUCUGCAUUUCCACACACCAUCCCCGUCCCAUCACCACUACCAAGGAUGAAGCCUCCACUUCUAAAACCCCUCCGCAUCCUUCAAGGGCUUUCCCUUGAAACCAUCCCUCAUUUCCUUCAGCAAGUCACUCAACAAACAUUUUUUAAAAAAACUCCUUUACGCCCUAAAAAAGUUAUUCUUGAGGAGCUUAAUAUUUACCGAGCAAAAGAGACUCAGCGAAGAGAAACUCAACUCAUGAGGAUGCUGUAAUGAUAGCAUUGCAAAGCAAUGGGUCAGCCGCUGGAGAGAAUGUGGGAGGCUCCAUCCAGACCUUGCUGAGACUGCUAG
rnacentral:lncRNA from 1 species